AAUAUCAAAGGUGAGCCAGUACAGGAUGGACCCGCGUCUGAUUAGCUAGUUGGUAAGGUAACGGCUUACCAAGGCGACGAUCAGUAGCCGACCUGAGAGGGUGAUCGGCCACAUUGGAACUGCGACACGGUCCAAACUCCUACGGGAGGCAGCAGUGGGGAAUAUUGCACAAUGGGCGAAAGCCUGAUGCAGCAACGCCGCGUGAGUGAUGAAGGCCUUCGGGUCGUAAAACUCUGUCCUCAAGGAAGAU
rnacentral:rRNA from 1 species